rnacentral:rRNA from 1 species
CUACGGGAUGCAGCAGUGGGGAAUAUUGCACAAUGGGCGCAAGCCUGAUGCAGCAACGCCGCGUGAGUGAAGAAGGCUUUCGGGUCGUAAAGCUCUGUCCUAUGGGAAGAAACAAAUGACGGUACCAUAGGAGGAAGCCCCGGCUAACUACGUGCCAGCAGCCGCGGUAAUACGUAGGGGGCAAGCGUUAUCCGGAAUCACUGGGCGUAAAGGGUGCGUAGGCGGUCUAUCAAGUCAGGGGUGAAAGGCAAUGGCUCAACCAUUGUAAGCCUUUGAAACUGAUGGACUUGAGUGCAGGAGAGGUAAGCGGAAUUCCUAGUGUAGCGGUGAAAUGCGUAGAUAUUAGGAGGAACACCAGUGGCGAAGGCGACUUACUGGACUGUAACUGACGCUGAGGCACGAAAGCGUGGGGAGCGAACAGGAUUAGAUACCCUCGUAGUC